UGUAUACAUCCAACCAACUAGUUAACCAGUUGGGCCUCAGUUCAGCAACUGAUAGGCGCAGCUGUAGCCGCUGAUGAAGGGAGGAGUGAGUUGUGAUAGAAGCCAGAUUCUCCUUCCUGGAGGAGGCGCAAGAAAUGCCAUCAGCUCCUUCGGACACUGCCGGCACUGUUUACCUAACUCCCACAACUCAGCAGGGGUAUAA
rnacentral:lncRNA from 10 species